rnacentral:misc_RNA from 1 species
GAUGAAGAACGUAGCGAACGUGCGAAACGUAAUGUGAAUUGCAGAAUUCAGUGAAUCAUCGAAUCUUUGAACGCAUCUUGCGCUCCUUGGUAUUCCGAGGAGCAUGCCUGUUUGAGUGUCGUGAAUACUCUCAACUUCAACCCUUUUUUCGGAAAGGGAGGAAGGUUGGACUUGGGUGUUUGUUGAAGUGCGAGCUUCGACUCAUCCUAAAUGCAUUAGCGAUCUGCCUCGAUCGCACACAAUGUGAUAAUUAAAACUAAAGCAUUGUUUAAUGAUCAAGUCGAGACUGCUUCUAACUGUCGCAAGACAAUAACGUGCAUACAUUUGUGCAUGUCAUUUGACCUCAAAUCAGGUAGGACUACCCGCUGAACUUAAGCAUAUCAAUAAGCGGAGGA